AUACAUAAAGAUAAAGCAUAUAUGAUCAGAUAGAUAUGUAGUUAAGGACCACUUAUAGUUGUACACGGAAUCCCUAAUUCAAAUUGAAAUGUACAUUGAUCCAUAAGAUUUUCCUUUUCUUAAAAUAGAAAAAAGAUCCCCUCGUAGCGAGUAUUUCCGAAAAAUACUCAUUUUUUUUACAAUGGGUUCUAUAUUUCGUACAUAUAUAAUAA
rnacentral:lncRNA from 1 species